GCAGUUCGUUAGACGAUCGCUUGUAUUUUUAUAAGAGGAAAGUCCGGGCAGCAUAGGAUAAUGGCAGUCGCUAACGGCGACCGGGGGUAACCCUAGGGAAAGUGCCACAGAAACGAAACCGCCUCGCGAAAAAAAUCUUGGCCCUAUCUAAGGUUAAGGUUUGAGGUAAGGGUGAAAGGAGUGGGGUAAGAGCCCACAGCGUCACGUGGUGACACGUGGAGAAGGUAAACCCUGUCAGCUGCAAGGAGAUCAACAUCAAGGGUGAUCCGCCCGUUGGUCGCUACCCGCUUGAACUUGUCAGUAAUGACUGGUCUAGAUAGAUGAUCGUCCACGACAAAACCCGGCUUACCGACGAACUGCCCAA
rnacentral:RNase_P_RNA from 1 species